AUGGAGGAUCAAGACGGUUCAACGCAACACCUUUGCUGACUUGCGGGGUCGUUCCAAGACCAUUCUUCAGGAUGGUCCAAAAACCAGGCGAGAAUCUCUGUCAACCUGCCAACAGCUAUUUGGUGAGGAGUGCAGGGAGGCGAUAUCUACAAUAAGACAUUCCAGCGAUGAAUCUGUGGUCAAAGAGAAGAUGAGAGCGACCUUCCAGUAUCGACAGAAGAUGGUUGGGGAUGAUGCAUCAUCUUCAGUCCUGGAUGUGUUCCCUCGUUUUCUUGAUGUACCUGGAUUGAUCGACCAGGAUUUCUCAAUGAUGUUUGGUGACGAAGUGUCUCAGAAGUUCCUGUCCAAGUGGUCAACUUUCUUCAAGCCAAACAUCACAGACUGCAAGACUGCAAAGAAUAUGGAUGAGUUGCUGUCAGCAACUGAAUCUGAGUCUGAAGAGAACAAUGGAUGGGACAGUGAUAUGUCUUCAAUCCUUUUACUGCUGCAUCUACUCCCUCCAACUUCAAGGGGCCAGAAAAAAACUGCCAAGAUCAGUUCAGCUCAAGCAACCAGCCAUCUUGUUAGAUAUCUUAAGGAAGGAGCCAGUAUUACUACCUUCCUUGAGAGUGUCGACGCAAACAACCGUUCCUCCUUUGCAUCGGUGAGCAAAAGAAGAAUAUCCAAAGGUUCUACCUUAUUAUCGACCGAAAAGCAAUCCCGUGCAAGGCACACACAUCAGGGGCAGCUUUAGACAUUACAUUUGGACGCCUGUUCAAAUGUUACAAGUACAAGGUGGGUCAGAUAUUACGGUACUGAGUACCAGGUUGGGUUGUACUUAUGCACUGGAUGUACCGAUGAUCUUCCUGUGUUCAAAAAGAUCUGUGAUAUUAUAAUACAUGAACAGCACGCUUUCAUAAUAUCCUGUAAUGUACAAACAAUGUACUAUGAUGACCACUUUAGUGCAUACUGUAUAGAAGACCAAAUGAAUGUGUUUUCUGUCAUAUCUGUGAAGGCACUGACUUAUUUUAGACCAUUUGACAAGCAAUGCUCUAAUGACAAUAGUCAAAGAGCAUACAUAGUGCCUUAUUGUUACAUUUAGAUAAAUGUACAGCAAUGAAAAAAGAUUUGGUAAUGUUGAUGCAUUUGAAGAAAUAAAAAUGUUAAAGUAGUGAACUUGUCAUUUGUAUUUCUAAUUAUUGACAUUUCAUUUAAAGAUUUUUUUUG
ensembl:lncRNA